rnacentral:rRNA from 1 species
UACGUAGGGUGCGAGCGUUAAUCGGAAUUACUGGGCGUAAGGCGUGCGCAGGCGGUUUUGUAAGCCAGAUGUGAAAUCCCCGGGCUUAACCUGGGAAUGGCAUUUGGGACUGCAAGGCUGGAGUGCGGCAGAGGAGACUGGAAUUCCUGGUGUAGCAGUGAAAUGCGUAGAUAUCAGGAGGAAUACCGAUGGCGAAGGCAGGUCUCUGGGCUGACACUGACGCUCAUGCACGAAAGCGUGGGGAGCAAACAGG